AGAAUCAACGCUGGCGGCGUGCCUAACACAUGCAAGUCGCACGAGAAAGGGGAGCAAUCCCUGAGUAAAGUGGCGCACGGGUGAGUAACACGUGAAUGAUCUACCUCCGAGUGGGGAAUAACCAAAGAAAUUUGGCUAAUACCGCAUAACACUUACGAGUCAAAGCAGCAAUGCGCUUGGAGGGGAGUUCGCGGCAGAUUAGCUAGUUGGCGGGGUAAUGGCCCACCAAGGCGAUGAUCUGUA
rnacentral:rRNA from 1 species